AGAGUUUGAUCCUGGCUCAGGAUGAACGCUAGCUACAGGCUUAACACAUGCAAGUCGAGGGGAAACGAUAGAGAAAGCUUGCUUUUUCUAGGCGUCGACCGGCGCACGGGUGAGUAACGCGUAUCCAACCUGCCCAUCACUUGGGGAUAACCUUGCGAAAGUAAGACUAAUACCCAAUGACGUCUCUAGAAGACAUCUGAAAGAGAUUAAAGAUUUAUCGGUGAUGGAUGGGGAUGCGUCUGAUUAGCUUGUUGGCGGGGUAACGGCCCACCAAGGCGACGAUCAGUAGGGGUUCUGAGAGGAAGGUCCCCCACAUUGGAACUGAGACACGGUCCAAACUCCUACGGGAGGCAGCAGUGAGGAAUAUUGGUCAAUGGACGAGAGUCUGAACCAGCCAAGUAGCGUGCAGGAAGACGGCCCUAUGGGUUGUAAACUGCUUUUAUAAGGGAAUAAAGUGAGAGUCGUGACUCUUUUUGCAUGUACCUUAUGAAUAAGGACCGGCUAAUUCCGUGCCAGCAGCCGCGGUAAUACGGAAGGUCCGGGCGUUAUCCGGAUUUAUUGGGUUUAAAGGGAGCGUAGGCCGGAGAUUAAGCGUGUUGUGAAAUGUAGACGCUCAACGUCUGCACUGCAGCGCGAACUGGUUUCCUUGAGUACGCACAAAGUGGGCGGAAUUCGUGGUGUAGCGGUGAAAUGCUUAGAUAUCACGAAGAACUCCGAUUGCGAAGGCAGCUCACUGGAGCGCAACUGACGCUGAAGCUCGAAAGUGCGGGUAUCGAACAGGAUUAGAUACCCUGGUAGUCCGCACGGUAAACGA
rnacentral:rRNA from 1 species